GAAAUGCGAUAAGUAAUGUGAAUUGCAGAAUUCAGUGAAUCAUCGAAUCUUUGAACGCACCUUGCGCUCCUUGGUAUUCCUUGGAGCAUGCCUGUUUGAGUAUCAUGAAAUCUUCAAAGUAAAUCUUUUGUUAACUCAAUUGGUUUCUACUUUGGUAUUGGAGGUCUUUGCAGCUUCACACCUGCUCCUCUUUGUUCAUUAGCUGGAUCUCAGUGUUAUGCUUGGUUCCACUCGGCGUGAUAAGUUAUCUAUCGCUGAGGACACUGUAAAAGGUGGCCAAGGUAAAUGCAGAUGAACCGCUUCUAAUAGUCCAUUGACUUGGACAAUACUUUUAUGAUCUGAUCUCACAUCAGCUAGGACUACCCGCUGAACUUAAGC
rnacentral:misc_RNA from 1 species